GACGAACGCUGGCGGCGUGCUUAACACAUGCAAGUCGAACGGAAAGGCCCUGCUUUUGUGGGGUGCUCGAGUGGCGAACGGGUGAGUAACACGUGAGUAACCUGCCCUUGACUUUGGGAUAACUUCAGGAAACUGGGGCUAAUACCGGAUAGGAGCUCCUGCUGCAUGGUGGGGGUUGGAAAGUUUCGGCGGUUGGGGAUGGACUCGCGGCUUAUCAGCUUGUUGGUGGGGUAGUGGCUUACCCAGGCUUUGACGGGUAGCCGGCCUGAGAGGGUGACCGGCCACAUUGGGACUGAGAUACGGCCCAGAGUCCUACGGGAGGCAGCAGUGGGGAAUAUUGCACAAUGGGCGGAAGCCUGAUGCAGAAACGCCGCGGGCGGGAUGACGGCCUUCGGGUUGUAAACCGCUUUAGCCUGUGACGAAGCGUGAGUGACGGUAAUGGGUAAAGAAGCACCGGCUAACUACGUG
rnacentral:rRNA from 1 species